rnacentral:rRNA from 1 species
CUACUGGGGUAUCUAAUCCUGUUCGCUCCCCACGCUUUCGUGCCUCAGCGUCAGUUUCGGCUCAGCGAGCUGCCUACGCAAUCGGGGUUCUUGGUGGUAUCUAUGCAUUUCACCGCUACACCACCAGUUCCGCCCGCCUUAACCGAACUCAAGCCCUGCAGUAUCAACGGCAGUUCCAGGGUUGAGCCCUGGGAUUUCACCGCUGACUUACAGGGCCGCCUACGCACCCUUUAAACCCAAUAAAUCCGGACAACGCUUGCACCCUCCGUAUUACCGCGGCGGCUGGCAC